AGUACAGCUUUGUGGGAAAAGGACUCAAAUCAACUUUUGCAUCAUUUCUACAGCCAGAACCAGCUGCAUUUGGAACUAACUGCCUCUCAUUUGUUUACAAGAUGUUGAGAUUAUCCUGGAUUAUUUGAGUGGGCCCUAAGUGCAACCUAUGUAUCCUCAUAAGAAGGAGAUCUGACACAGAAGAAGAGGAGAAGGCAACAGGACCAAAGAGGCAGAGGCAGAGAUUUGAAGGAUGUGACCAUAAGGCUAAGAGUGUUGGCUGCUACCAAAGCUGCGCGAGGCUUCCUUCACAUGCUGACCAUGGUGGGCUUGCCCUUCAACAUCCAAAGUUUUGUCAUCUGGCUGCCCAGGCCCUUGGAUGGCAUCAAACUUCUAUCCACUGCAGUGUGAUGGCUACUGAUCAGAGCUGAGCUGGCCCAGCUGGGGCGACCUCUUCCUUCUAGGCCUGAUCUUUAUAGCUUGUGAGUCUGUUUCUUUGCAGAAAGUAGGCUCUGGUGUGUUUACGUAUAUUUGUUCUAUGAGUGGACAUCCAGGA
rnacentral:lncRNA from 1 species